GAGACUGGCGGACGGGUGAGUAACGCGUAGACAACCUGCCUUUAUCAGGGGGAUAACACUGCGAAAGUGGUGCUAAUACCGCAUAAUGCAGCGGGGCCGCAUGGCCACAGUUGUUAAAGGUUUCGGCCGGAUAAAGAUGGGUCUGCGUACUAUUAGUUAGUUGGUGGGGUAACGGCCUACCAAGGCGAUGAUAGUUAGGGGGUCUGAGAGGAUGAUCCCCCACACUGGGACUGAGACACGGCC
rnacentral:rRNA from 12 species